rnacentral:rRNA from 1 species
UACGGAGGGGACUAGCGUUGUUCGGAAUUACUGGGCGUAAAGCGCACGUAGGCGGAUUUGUAAGUCAGGGGUGAAAUCCCGGGGCUCAACCUCGGAACUGCCUUUGAUACUGCAAAUCUCGAGUCCGGAAGAGGUGAGUGGAAUUCCUAGUGUAGAGGUGAAAUUCGUAGAUAUUAGGAAGAACACCGGUGGCGAAGGCGGCAUCCUGGACCGGCAUUGACGCUGAGGCGCGGAAAGCCAGGGGAGCAAAGCGGG